UACGGGGGGAGCAAGCGUUGUUCGGAUUUACUGGGCGUAAAGGGCGCGUAGGCGGCGCAACAAGUCACUUGUGAAAUCUCCGGGCUUAACCCGGAGCGGUCAAGUGAUACUGUCGUGCUAGAGUGCGGAAGGGGCUACUGGAAUUCUCGGUGUAGCGGUGAAAUGCGUAGAUAUCGAGAGGAACACCUGGCGGCGAAGGCGGGUAGCUGGGCCGACACUGACGCUGGAGGAGCGAAAGCCUAGGGGAGCAAACGGG
rnacentral:rRNA from 1 species